rnacentral:rRNA from 1 species
AGCGAACGCUGGCGGCAGGCUUAACACAUGCAAGUCGAGCGGGCCCUUCGGGGUCAGCGGCGGACGGGUGAGUAACGCGUGGGAACGUGCCUUCUGGUUCGGAAUAACUCAGGGAAACUUGAGCUAAUACCGGAUACGCCCUUUUGGGGAAAGGUUUACUGCCGGAAGAUCGGCCCGCGUCUGAUUAGCUAGUUGGUGGGGUAACGGCCUACCAAGGCGACGAUCAGUAGCUGGUCUGAGAGGAUGAUCAGCCACACUGGGACUGGGACACGGCCCAGACUCCUACGGGAGGCAGCAGUGGGGAAUAUGGGACAAUGGGCGCAAGCCUGAUCCAGCCAUGCCGCGUGAGUGAGGAGGCCUUAGGGUUGUAAAGCUCUUUUAUCCGGGACGAUAAUGACGGUACCGGAGGAAUAAGCCCCGGCUAACUUCGUG